rnacentral:rRNA from 1 species
GAUGAACGCUGGCGGCGUGCCUAAUACAUGCAAGUCGAGCGAAUGGAUUAAGAGCUUGCUCUUAUGAAGUUAGCGGCGGACGGGUGAGUAACACGUGGGUAACCUGCCCAUAAGACUGGGAUAACUCCGGGAAACCGGGGCUAAUACCGGAUAACAUUUUGAACCGCAUGGUUCGAAAUUUAAAGGCGGUUCCGGCUGUCACUUAUGGAUGGACCCGCGUCGCAUUAGCUAGUUGGGGAGGUAACGGCUCACCAAGGCAACGAUGCGUAGCCGACCUGAGAGGGUGAUCGGCCACACUGGGACUGAGACACGGCCCAGACUCCUACGGGAGGCAGCAGUAGGGAAUCUUCCGCAAUGGACGAAAGUCUGACGGAGCAACGCCGCGUGAGUGAUGAAGGCUUUCGGGUCGUAAAACUCUGUUGUUAGGGAAGAACAAGUGCUAGUUGAAUAAGCUGGCACCUUGACGGUACCUAACCAGAAAGCCACGGCUAACUACGUGCCAGCCGCCGCAGUAA